rnacentral:Y_RNA from 1 species
GGCUGGUCCAAAGGUAGUGCAUUAUCUCAACUGAUUGUUCAGUCAGUUACAGAUCGAACUCCUUGUAUCUACUCUUUUACCCCUUCUCACUACUGUACUUGACUAGUCUUAA